UACAGGGGGGGCAAGCGUUGUUCGGAAUUACUGGGCGUAAAGGGCUCGUAGGCGGCCAACUAAGUCACACGUGAAAUCCCCAGGCUUAACCUGGGAACUGCGUGUGAUACUGGAUGGCUUGAAUUCGGGAGAGGGAUGCAGAAUUCCAGGUGUAGCGGUGAAAUGCGUAGAUAUCAGGAGGAACACCUGUGGCGAAAGCGGCUCACUGGACCACAACUGACGCUGAUGCACGAAAGCUAGGGGAGCAAACAGG
rnacentral:rRNA from 1 species